rnacentral:rRNA from 1 species
CCUACGAGUGGCAGCAGUGGGGAAUAUUGCACAAUGGGGGAAACCCUGAUGCAGCGACGCCGCGUGAGUGAAGAAGUAUUUCGGUAUGUAAAGCUCUAUCAGCAGGGAAGAAGCAAGACGGUACCUGACUAAGAAGCCCCGGCUAACUACGUGCCAGCAGCCGCGGUAAUACGUAGGGGGCAAGCGUUAUCCGGAUUUACUGGGUGUAAAGGGAGCGUAGACGGUAUGGCAAGUCUGAAGUGAAAGCCCAGGGCUUAACCCUGGGACUGCUUUGGAAACUGUUAGACGAGAGUGCUGGAGAGGUAAGUGGAAUUCCUAGUGUAGCGGUGAAAUGCGUAGAUAUUAGGAGGAACACCAGUGGCGAAGGCGGCUUACUGGACAGUAACUGACGUUGAGGCUCGAAAGCGUGGGGAGCAAACAGGAUUAGAUACCCGGGUAGUC